rnacentral:rRNA from 1 species
CAGCAGCCACGGUAAUACGAAGGGGGCUAGCGUUGUUCGGAAUUACUGGGCGUAAAGCGCACGUAGGCGGAUAUUUAAGUCAGGGGUGAAGUCCCGCAGCUCAACUGCGGAACUGCCUUUGAUACUGGGUAUCUUGAGUAUGGAAGAGGUUAGUGGAAUUGCGAGUGUAGAGGUGAAAUUCGUAGAUAUUCGCAGGAACACCAGUGGCGAAGGCGGCUAACUGGUCCAUAACUGACGCUGAGGUGCGAAAGCGUGGGGAGCAAACAGGAUUAGAUACCCGAGUAGUCCCUGUCUCUUAUAC